rnacentral:lncRNA from 1 species
GAGCUUUAGUUUCAGCCUUCAACUGGUAGCAGACCUCAGCAAGCACCACGACAACCAACAACAUCACAGCUUCAGUUCCAGCAGCAGCUUCAGCUCCAGCAGCAUCGCGGUCCAGCUUCCUCAGCAAGCAGCACCUCCGCUGCACCAGCGUAGCCUCUCCACAGCAAACAACAGCACAGUUUCCAGCGCAGCUCCUUCUUUUCCUGUUCCAGCUCUGCACUAGCACUGUGACAUUCAUUCCAGCAGCAUCAGUCUCUCCUCAGCACCAUCCUCUCCAUACAGCAGCACCUCUUCUGCAUCAGUGACAGUCCAACAGCUGACUGUUUGAGAAAUAGUUUAAGAUGAAAAAAUAAGGAGUUGGCUUAUAGACAUGUAAGGUGUUUAUUUAUCCCAAAUAUAGAUAAUAUCUCUAGAAUAUAACUAAAUUCUUUAAAUUUUUAAAAUAAUAAAAUGAUAAGAUAAAGAAAAAAAAAUUUGUUUUUUAUUGUCUAUAGUUUUCUAUGCAGCAACAGGUUUUAUUAGACUUGAAAUUAUUAUAAUGAAACAUUAUAUCAUUUAAUAUUAUUACUGUUAUAGAACUAUAUAUUUUAAUGGAAGAAUUAUAUUCUAAAUUAAAUUAAAUAGAUGUCAUUCAGUUUUAUCUUAACAAUUACAAAUAUUAAAAUUAAUUAUAAAAAUUAAAAAAAUUAAUUUAAAAAUAAAUUAAUCUCACUGACAUAUUAUUAAGUGUCAAAUAACAUCUUUUAAUAUUAUAAAUAUCCAUAUGAUAGUAUUAGAAAACCUACUAGAAGAGUCAUUCCAUCUUGACUUUCAUUUAAUUUAAUUUACUAAGUAAUAAAAACUCAAAUUUAUAAAUAAUUGGAAGAAAGUAAUUUUUUUUUUUUAUGAAAUAAAUAUCCUUUUAUUUAUUUAUUUACAAACAACAGACUCCAACGUGAGUAGCAGAAACUUCCAGACUAGCUACCUCUCAUCAGUCUCGCUAGCAGAGGUUGUGCUCCUCAGGCCGUGACCAUCAGAUAUCUCUCAGCAACUCCACUGCCAGCAGAGGUUGUUCUCCUCAAUCACGCCAGCAGCUCCAGCAGCAGCAGCAGCGUAGAACUCUCCCAAAACCUGUGUAGUGAGGUAUAUCCUUUUUUUUGUUUUGUUGA